ensembl:snoRNA small nucleolar RNA SNORA11
UGGAUGUGGAGAGAGCAGAGCGCCUGAAGAAUGGCUGCUUCGUGAUUAACACAUCCAACAGCAACUUGGGCUUACUCCUCACAGGUGGCAGCAUACCAUGACCUUCCUGUGACAUUUCGCCCAACAAUA